rnacentral:rRNA from 1 species
CCCUUAGAUGUCCGGGGCUGCACGCGCGCCACACUGAGUGGAUCAGCGUGUGUCUACCCUUCGCCGAGAGGCGUGGGUAACCCGCUGAACCCCACUCGUGAUAGGGAUUGGGGAUUGCAAUUAUUUCCCAUGAACGAGGAAUUCCCAGUAAGCGCGGGCCAUAAGCUCGCGUUGAUUAAGUCCCUGCCCUUUGUACACACCGCCCGUCGCUACUACCGAUUGGAUGGUUUAGUGAGGUCCUCGGAUCGGCCCCGCCGGGGUCGGUCACGGCCCUGGCGGAGCGCCGAGAAGACGAUCAAACUUGACUAUCUAGAGGAAGUAAAANUCGUANCA